rnacentral:rRNA from 1 species
CCUACGGGAGGCAGCAGUGGGGAAUUUUGGACAAUGGGCGCAAGCCUGAUCCAGCCAUGCCGCGUGUGGGAAGAAGGCCUUCGGGUUGUAAACCACUUUUGUCAGGGAAGAAACGGCUUUUUCUAAUACAGAGAGCUAAUGACGGUACCUGAAGAAUAAGCACCGGCUAACUACGUGCCAGCAGCCGCGGUAAUACGUAGGGUGCAAGCGUUAAUCGGAAUUACUGGGCGUAAAGCGUGCGCAGGCGGCUUUGCAAGACAGAUGUGAAAUCCCCGGGCUCAACCUGGGAACUGCAUUUGUGACUGCAUGGCUAGAGUACGGUAGAGGGGGAUGGAAUUCCGCGUGUAGCAGUGAAAUGCGUAGAUAUGCGGAGGAACACCGAUGGCGAAGGCAAUCCCCUGGACCUGUACUGACGCUCAUGCACGAAAGCGUGGGGAGCAAACAGGAUUAGAUACCCUGGUAGUCCCACGACCUAACGAUGUCACUGGUUGUUGGUACGGUCGUUGUCGUGUUCGUAGUAACGGAACGACGUAACGACGUGUAAGUUAGGUACCGGCCGUCGGGGUAGGGUACGGGUUCCGGCGUAGGUUAGGUUAAACGUUAAAGUUAAGUUAGUUAGGCGGNGAGAGAGCGACGGACGACGACGAGGAGGAGGAGG